GUUAAUAUUUGUUGUGUUAGGGCCAUUUACGGAGAAGGGUAUUCAUAAAUUCUAUCUCUUUGUGGGGGUUGGAAGCUUAUUGUUGUAUUCUCAGUGUGUAAGCAGGUGAAUUUUCCCAAUUAAAGAGGACGAAUUUUAUGGUCAAAGAAGAAGAUUUAGUGGUGAACUUAAUUAGAUUGUUGAAAGUUUUGUGCUUUACAUAUUUUGAGCUGAGCUGCGAGUACGAGGACGUCGACUUCGUGUUGAAUUAUAUGUGAGUGGCCUUGAGCCUUGACACCCUGACCACGACCUUGUAUGGUAUUAUUUAUUUAUUAGGCUAAUUUUGCCAAUCAAUUUGAGCAUUUUCUGGCCAAUGCAGGUCAACUAUCUUGCUGAUUGUAGUCUUGAGAUUUUGGAUGAUCCUUUGGUGACUGCACUGCUCGAGGUACUUAAGUUUCGUUAAUUUAACUUUGAAAUUGUGACAUUAUUCUUAACUAUGGAGUUGGACUUUUUAGCUAGUUGGUCAUCUGUUACCUUUUAUAGUCAUACAAAAGAAAUAUUAGGUCUGUGAAAGAUUCUAUUGUAGAGUUUUUUUUCUAGAACUGUUGAUAUUGCUUGCAUAUUAGGAGUCUCUACUCCGGAGGCUAAGAUGUAUAGCCAGUAACCUGUGACUUCAGAUAUAUAGAAGUUAUUAAGAAGAUCAAUAGAUCAUGGAUCACAGACAUUAGAAACAUUAUUUUCUCUUGGUCUUCAUAAUUCUUGAGGAAGGGCACUCUAUUAUAGUGGUUGACUAUUGACGGUCAAAGGUCAACUACCGACCGCCCUAGCUGACUUCCAUUUCUGGAUUCGCCACUGGCCGUAAAAUUGUUUAAACAUCGUGAU
rnacentral:lncRNA from 1 species